rnacentral:rRNA from 1 species
AUUGAACGCUGGCGGCAUGCCUUACACAUGCAAGUCGAACGGCAGCACGGGUGCUUGCACCUGAUGGCGAGUGGCGAACGGGUGAGUAAUACAUCGGAACGUACCUUAUCGUGGGGGAUAACGCAGCGAAAGCUGUGCUAAUACCGCAUACGCCCUGAGGGGGAAAGCGGGGGAUCGAAAGACCUCGCGCGAUUAGAGCGGCCGAUGCCUGAUUAGCUUGUUGGUGGGGUAAAAGCCCACCAAGGCGACGAUCAGUAGCUGGUCUGAGAGGACGAUCAGCCACACUGGGACUGAGACACGGCCCAGACUCCUACGGGAGGCAGCAGUGGGGAAUUUUGGACAAUGGGGGCAACCCUGAUCCAGCAAUGCCGCGUGAGUGAAGAAGGCCUUCUGGUUGUAAAGCUCUUUUGUCAGGGAAGAAACACCGGCUCUAACACAGUCCGGGAAUGACGGUACCUGAAGAAUAAGCACCGGCUAACUACGUGCCAGCCGCCGCAGUAA